UAACCCCCAACCCCACAAAGGAUAAAGCAACUUUUUUGGACUAUAAAUAGAGAUCUAAGUUUGGAGAUAGAAGGAAGAGAGGGAUUGUAAGUUAGUAAGCGAGAAGAGAUAUGGAGGGAGGAAGAAACAUGAGAUCAGUGGCGAUGAUUUUUAUAGUGAUGUUUGUGGUUGCACAGCAGCAUACCUCAGCUAUAUCCAUUCACAGAUGCUUAGUUUGCUUCAAAUGCCUCAUUCAAGGUGGUACACUACUUGAUUGUGGUAUCGACUGUGUAUUCUGUCUUGAAGCCAACCAAAUUCCCCCUAAUCCAAAUUUCCAAUGUACCCUUAACUGUGCCAAAUCCUCUUGCUCCACCUACAUCAAUGAUGACAAAGCAUUGGAAGGGUGCCUGACUUCAUGUUCCGAAAGCAUUAUUUGCAGCAACUAAUGCAAUCUAUUGAAGAAUAAGUUCCAUAUGUUGUAGUCAAAAUCCUCAAAGAUGAUAUGAAAAACUAUAGGAUCAAAGAUUAGUAUGAGCCUUGAUGCAUGGUAGCUAGAAGGCUACUUGAUUAAUAAAAAGGAUUUGGAAUUUUAUCUAGUAA